ensembl:lncRNA
AGUGAUAAGAAGAAAAAUUUAGGAAAAGCUCUAGAAGAGGUGAAAGAGGCGCAUCGAAGUGUGGCUCAGAGUUUCCUCCAUAAAAGCCAUCUUAAGACAAAAACAAUUUGGCUCCAGAACUCAACAUCUUAAGAAGAAGAAGAUCUUAAUGGAGUUCCGACUGUGGCCUUGGAGAGUCCAAAGUUUGAGGAGGAGAAACUACAGAAGACUGGACCCUCGUUUGGUGUUAAACACGACUUUCAUUGUAUUUGAGUACUACAUUCAGGAAAAUGUUGAAGAAAAGAUGGAGAACAAAUCCAAGAGCAUCCAAGUCCAUGUACUUGAUUAUAUAAGAUGCCUGACAG